CUGAAAGUUUAUUUUUCACUUCAGCAUGCAUUUAAGAAGAAUAUAUCUUCAAAGGUGUGAAGACUGAAGGCAUGACUGGUUAAUGAAGCCUCCUUUUCUGAAGCACAACAAAUUUCUCAACGCAGGCAUCUACCACUUAUAUCUGGAAGUGAAGAAAUUUCCCCAGACACCUUUGUGGCUACUUGCCCCCAUCCUCGCAAGUGGAGAUUUGGAUAACAGCGUGG
rnacentral:lncRNA from 1 species